rnacentral:rRNA from 1 species
AUAUCGGAACGUGCCCUGGAGUGGGGGAUAACGCAGCGAAAGUUGCGCUAAUACCGCAUACGAUCUAAGGAUGAAAGCGGGGGAUUCGCAAGAACCUCGUGCUCCUGGAGCGGCCGAUAUCUGAUUAGCUAGUUGGUGGGGUAAAGGCCUACCAAGGCAUCGAUCAGUAGCUGGUCUGAGAGGACGACCAGCCACACUGGAACUGAGACACGGUCCAGACUCCUACGGGAGGCAGCAGUGGGGAAUUUUGGACAAUGGGCGCAAGCCUGAUCCAGCAAUGCCGCGUGAGUGAAGAAGGCCUUCGGGUUGUAAAGCUCUUUUGUCAGGGAAGAAACGGGUG